rnacentral:lncRNA from 1 species
CAUCAUCAUCAUCAUUAAUUAUCGUUAUUAUUAUUAUCAUCAUCAUCAUCAUUAUAAUAAUAAAGGACCCAUUUGCAAAUAAUACAAAACAUUUGAGUAUUUUCAUAAAUUCUUUAGGGAUCAAAAUGAAAAAAAUGACAUAAUUUGAUUGAGGGUGCUUUUUGGGAAUUAUGAAAAUUUAAUGGGGGCAAAGUAGGUAGUUUUGGGAACCAAAAUUUGAUUCCCAACUCUCCUUGGGAAUGAUUUCCAAAUUUGUGGGUCUUUCAUGAUUUCAAUUUCGAUUCCCACUCUUAUUUUGUGAAGUAAACAUUGUUAAUAAUUUUGAUUCUAGAUUUCGAUUUCUUAAUUAGGGAAGCAAACACACCCUUAAUGAAUUGGGAUGUAUACUUUUCUUCAUGUGUUGGGUGAAAUUUAUUGAAAGAAUUCAAGUGAAAGCUUAGCCGUUGAUUUCAGGAUCACGGAAGAGUUGCAAAGUACUUCAAUCAUAUAAUGUUUACCACCCAUUUCAGAAUGUCGAUUGCGCUCUCAGUUCUAUAGUAUAUGAUUUAAUAUUACUUAAUAACAAAGACACAAAGAGAGUAGUAGGAGCCUUCAUUAUUUUUUUUCCCAGAAUUUUGGGAGCAUGACCAGCUGCCAUAUGUGAUUUGGGAAUGGAUUGUGUAGAAAUGCCUGAAAAUGGGAUACACAAACAUGCAACCAAUACCUCUCUGAUUGGUGGGGUAAUCUUUUGGUAUUGUAGAAAAAAAUCAUUCUAUUCAUGGAUUUGGAAAUGGGUAUUGAAGAUUGUUAGCAUCGCAACUGGGAUCGAAGUGUUCAAGUUAGCAUUCCAUUCAUAGCUUCCUAGGUUCCUCUUCAGUGCAGAUAUAGAGAUCAAAGUGUUCGAGUUAGCAUUGAAACUUCUAAGAUAUUCCUGGAAAUUUCAAUUACAUUUCCUUAAGUUUAUCAAACCCUCCCUAAAGUAGUUAAAAAUUAUUCAUGGUUAAGUUACAAAUAGUCUAGAAAGACUUAAAUUAGACAAUGAUUAUGUGACUCAUAAGUAAUUUUUUUUUUCUUCACUCGAAACUUGUUUUUUCCCUUAUCAAUAUUUUAAUUUAUCUAAUACAAAAGAGCAAGUUGGCAAUCAUUAGGUUAGGAUCAAGUACUUUGCAAAUUUUUUGUUUUGGAACUGAGCGGAUGUUGAUGCCCUAAAUAUUCAAUAGUAACUAAGUUUUGUUGUAAUUGAAAAUUAUUGCUCACAUAGAGGUUUCUGAACAAGCUGCGAAAAAAAAAAAAUAACAAUGGAAAAAUUAUCUAUCCACCAUCUUUGUUUUGUCAUAAGUACAUAUAAUCACUAUAAAAUUUUCAUUGUUUUUGUUUUUAAACUUGUAUCAAUCAAUUACUUUGAUACUAACAAAAAUUAGAAUUUGGUAAAUAAUUUAAAUAAAAUGACAUUUUUAGCCCUAAAUCAAUUAAAAGAUCAUUUUAUCC